rnacentral:pre_miRNA from 1 species
CAGGACUGCCUCAGAGAGCAGGCUGGUGAACAGAACAGAGCCUGGCCUGAGUCUGUCCUAUC